GAGUUAUCCUAUGGGGGCUAAUUUAGCUUCCCGCCCAGAGCCACGAGCUGCUGGCUUUUUCUCUUUUUGGCAGUCAUCGAGUGCAGUUCAAUUUAAUUUGGCAGUGUGUUAAUGUGACGGACAGAAUUUCCGGAUUAGCUUAAAUAUAGCGCUAAAUCCUGUUCAUGGGUUUGGCGCUUAGUGUCAGAUAUUGGAUCCGGUCUUUGCUCUGUAGGGGGAAUAAAUUUAUCAAGAAACCCCAAAGAAGUGA